CAUGCAGUCGACGGUACAGGCAGAAGCUUGCUUUUGUGCUGACGAGUGGCGGACGGGUGAGUAACGCAUAGGAAUCUGCCCAGUAGUGGAGGACAACUUGGGGAAACCCAAGCUAAUACCGCAUACGCCCUACGGGGGAAAGCAGGGGAUCUUCGGACCUUGCGCUAUUGGAUGAGCCUAUGUCUGAUUAGCUAGUUGGUGAGGUAAUGGCUCACCAAGGCGACGAUCAGUAGCUGGUCUGAGAGGAUGAUCAGCCACACUGGGACUGAGACACGGCCCAGACUCCUACGGGAGGCAGCAGUGGGGAAUAUUGGACAAUGGGGGCAACCCUGAUCCAGCAAUGCCGCGUGUGUGAAGAAGGCCUGCGGGUUGUAAAGCACUUUCAGUUGGGAAGAAAAGCUUCGUGUUAAUAGCGCGGAGUCUUGACGUUACCAUCAGAAGAAGCACCGGCUAACUCUGUGCCAGCAGCCGCGGUAAUACAGAGGGUGCGAGCGUUAAUCGGAAUUACUGGGCGUAAAGCGCGCGUAGGCGGUUUGGUCAGUCGGAUGUGAAAGCCCCGGGCUCAACCUGGGAAUGGCAUUCGAUACUGCCAGGCUAGAGUAUGGGGAGAGGGAAGUGGAAUUUCCGGUGUAGCGGUGAAAUGCGUAGAUAUCGGGAAAGAACACCAGUGGCGAAGGCGACUUCCUGGCCCAAUACUGACGCUGAGGUGCG
rnacentral:rRNA from 1 species